AGGAAGCUCUACGGUAUAUUAGGAUGAAGCACAAACAAGUUUCUGGCAAAAAAAAAAACAAAAAUGGGGGCAUAAAAGCAAAAAGGAUCGAACUUGAGAAUGCAAACCGUAGAAAGACUGACAGUCGAACGUUUAUUUGCCCUUUUGCUUCAAUGGCAGCAAAGGCAACGUUUCCAAUAGGAAUUUAAAAUGAGAAACAAACACAGCACCACCAACAACAACAACAACAACUGUAACGAUAAAUACGACAAACAUCAUCAUCAGCGAUGGGAGAGCAUGAUGAUGAGUAGACUCGUGCUAAGUAAGUCCAAUUGGACAUGGCCAUAGUGGCAUGUGUCAUCGCAAGGCACGUGUCCUUUUUGCGCGGCCCCAAAAUAUUACAUUGACUCUACAGCCAAAGUUACACAAAGGUCAAACGGAACAUUAUGGCUUUAUUUUGCGCCUAAUAAAUCUCAUUAUGUCAUUAUGUGCUCGAGCGCAGCAACAACAACCAUAAACAAGAAAACGCAGAGGUAACAACAACAACAAAGUAGCUGUCGCUUCCAAGUCGACAGUCAGCGUCGUUGUUGCCGUCACCGUAGCAGUCGACAGCGCAGUCAGCGUUGCCGUCGGAACGGCAACAACCAAACGACAUGCCAAUCAGUAAUCAAUCCGCACGCACAUUGACAACGAGGACGUCGCUUGCGCUGUCCCUCUGCACCCCUUAUGAAACAAACCAACACGCAAAAACAAUUUGCAAAGGCAUCAAAUUAAAGAUAUCAAAUUAAUGACUAUGAGAUACCCUUUAAGAAGUAUCAAAUUAUAUUAUUGAUUCAAAUAUGCGCAAGCCUUCUCGACUGCAAUAAGAAAAACAUUUUUAUAGCUUUCUCAACUCAUCUUAAACUAAAUGGGAAUAUUUACUCAUUGACAGAAGUAAUAUUAAUUCCUAUUAGAUCACGUAUACCUUUCUGCUGGACUUGUUACAUACUCCAACUUAAUAUUGGCAAUAAGAAACUCUCAAAAGGAGUAGCAGCAAUGCUGCCAAGUGAGACCACACGACGUCACUGUAAACAAAAUGAAAAGAGAUAAACAUAGAGCGGCACUGCGCAACAUGGCGUCAGCGGCAGCAGCAACACUGAUGGUGCGCGAGAGCGAGAACGAGAGCGCUCAGAGAGCGAGCGAACAGCAAAAACGCCGCCAUUAAAGAAAUUCCUCUCAGAGAGCGCUUCGUGUAUGUGCAUGGGAAUGCUUUGGUGUGCGGCAUGCGUGUGCAAAUGCCGCAGGGUUGUCACGUCGCGCCGAUCUCAGCCAAACAAUCAGAAAAAUAAUGUUGACAUUCAAUCAAUCAACAUGAAUUAAAUAUUUGUUGUAUUCACUAAAGCAAGUAUUGGUAAAUAGUAAAAUUUCAUAAAACAUUGCAGUUGAAAUAUUGCCUUGUUUACAUGCUCAAAUUUGUUGACAACUCUGGACUGCGCGCCGCUGUGUUGCCAGCGAGAGCCGCUCAAUUUAUGCGCUUUUUGUACGCGUUGCUCCUUCGUGGCGGACAGUACGGAUGAAACACUGUCGACGCAAACUAGGCGAAAAGUUCUAUGAGAAAUAACAAAAAAAAAGAGAAGAAAAACCAUUCAACAUUAUUAGCAUUAAUUGUGUGCUAAACCAAAAGAUUUCUAUGAGCAAUUAGGCAAAAGCAGCAAAAAAAGAAAACAACUAACCUCAUAAAAAGUUCAUACAGUGAAAAAGUUAAAGAAAAAAAAAAACAAGAAAAAUUUGUCAAAAAAAAAGAAGAAAAA